rnacentral:rRNA from 1 species
UACGAACCGGACAAACGUUAUUCGGAAUCACUGGGCUUAAAGAGUGCGUAGGCGGCUUCUCAAGUUGGGUGUGAAAUCCCUCGGCUCAACCGAGGAAUUGCGCUCAAAACUGGGAAGCUCGAGGAAGACAGGGGUAAGCGGAACUGAUGGUGGAGCGGUGAAAUGCGUUGAUAUCAUCAGGAACACCAGUGGCGAAGGCGGCUUACUGGGUCUUAUCUGACGCUGAGGCACGAAAGCUAGGGUAGCGAACGGG